CCUACGGGGUGCAGCAGUGAGGAAUAUUGGUCAAUGGACGAGAGUCUGAACCAGCCAAGUAGCGUGAAGGAUGACUGCCCUAUGGGUUGUAAACUUCUUUUAUAAAGGAAUAAAACGAGGCACGUGUGCCUUUUUGCAUGUACUUUAUGAAUAAGGAUCGGCUAACUCCGUGCCAGCAGCCGCGGUAAUACGGAGGAUCCGAGCGUUAUCCGGAUUUAUUGGGUUUAAAGGGAGCGUAGAUGGGUUGUUAAGUCAGUUGUGAAAUUUUGCGGCUCAACCGUAAAAUUGCAAUUGAUACUGGCAGUCUUGAGUACAGUUGAGGUAGGCAGAAUUCGUGGUGUAGCGGUGAAAUGCUUAGAGAUCACGAAGAACCCCGAUUGCGAAGGCAGCUUACUAAACUGUGACUGACAUUGAUGCUCGAAAGUGUGGGUAUCAAACAGGAUUAGAUACCCCGGUAGUC
rnacentral:rRNA from 1 species